rnacentral:rRNA from 1 species
UACGUAGGGUGCGAGCGUUGUCCGGAAUUAUUGGGCGUAAAGAGCUCGUAGGCGGUUUGUCGCGUCGGCCGUGAAAACCUCAGGCUUAACUUGGGGCUUGCGGUCGAUACGGGCAGACUUGAGUUCGGCAGGGGAGACUGGAAUUCCUGGUGUAGCGGUGAAAUGCGCAGAUAUCAGGAGGAACACCGGUGGCGAAGGCGGGUCUCUGGGCCGAUACUGACGCUGAGGAGCGAAAGCGUGGGGAGCGAACAGGAUUAGAUACCCUGGUAGUCCACGCCGUAAACGUUGGGCGCUAGGUGUGGGGACCAUUCCACGGUUUCCGUGCCGUAGCUAACGCAUUAAGCGCCCCGCCUGGGGAGUACGGCCGCAAGGCUAAA